rnacentral:rRNA from 1 species
GAUGAACGCUGGCGGCGUGCCUAAUACAUGCAAGUCGAGCGAACAGACGAGGAGCUUGCUCCUCUGACGUUAGCGGCGGACGGGUGAGUAACACGUGGAUAACCUACCUAUAAGACUGGGAUAACUUCGGGAAACCGGAGCUAAUACCGGAUAAUAUAUUGAACCGCAUGGUUCAAUAGUGAAAGACGGUUUUGCUGUCACUUAUAGAUGGAUCCGCGCCGCAUUAGCUAGUUGGUAAGGUAACGGCUUACCAAGGCAACGAUGCGUAGCCGACCUGAGAGGGUGGUCGGCCACACUGGAACUGAGACACGGUCAAGACUCCUACGGGAGGCAGCAGUAGGGAAUCUUCCGCAAUGGGCGAAAGCUUGACGGAGCAACGCCGCGUGAGUGAUGAAGGUCUUCGGAGCGUAAAACUCUGUUAUUAGGGAAGAACAAAUGUGUAAGUAACUAUGCACGUCUUGACGGUACCUAAUCAGAAAGCCACGGCUAACUACGUG